GAGUCUUUUUCCAUCAAUCUAAUCUUAAAGACCUAAACCCUCUGUUCUUUCUCAUCUUUCGUCCGCCUGCCUCUUCUGAAAUCAAAAUUCACUCUCACAAAUCAAAUCUAAAUCUUAGCACCAUCUCAAAAUCAAAACCCACGUACCAGCGGAAAUCAGAAGCAAACCCUUUUUUGUAACCCUAGAUUAAGUUACUUAGCUCCUGAAACCCUAGGGUUUCAAUGGGAAUGAGAACCUAUCGAUCUGAAGAUUCAAGAUAUGGAUUCAUCAUCGACGACAUCCACUGUGUGAAAAUCUGGGCACUCGAUCAAAUAAGAGAAAUAUGCUUCCCGGAGAGCAAUUCUCCCUGUGCUUUAAGCGGGAGAGGAUGAAAGAUUCGCCAGCGAACGGAAAAAGUAUCUAAAGGAAAAGACAGAAUCAUGAAGGAUGUUCCAGGCUGGUAUUGAGAACCAGAACCAAUACUAAAGAUUCCUUUAACAUUUAAGAUUUAUUUCUUGUUGGCAUGUGAAGAUGACGAAAUGGACUGGGUUUGAGUACUCUGAGGAGGAACCAGAGGAGAAAGAUAUUGAUAUUGAGAACGAGAACCAAUACUACAACUCUGAACGUACUUCCUACUAAUGUCUAACUGUUAGAUUUAUGGUUCAAUGCCCACUUUUUAUUUCGUAGCUGGGAAAAAUUUUAAUCUGAUGGUGUUAUUGAGAGGCGUAGAUUAUUGAUUUAUCGCGGAUACUGCUUGAAGUUUCAAUACAAAAAAAAUUGUACAGUUAAUUUCCAGAAUUUUUUUGCUGGUACCUUUGGAACUAUUUUCCUAGGAGCUGAAGUAGAAUGUUGUCCUUUGAAUAUUAUUCUUUUUAUUGUUUUGAAACUCACCCUUCCUAAGUGAUUAUUUAUAUUAUUGUAGGUUUCGUCGAUCCCAAAUGAGCAUUUGAAGGUUUUUCGGAAGUGGUGCGCGCCUAUUGAACUGGAUAUGGCAGAAGGAAAUUCAAUUGUAAAGUCUGUCAAAGAGAAACACUUGGUGACAUCUUCUAGCAAGAUUUUAUGGGACUGCCAUGCACUUCGACUGAUGUUCUCUGUCCAUAGUGGUUCUCAUUGGAUGGGGAAGAGCUUUGAAGUGAGUUUAUGCAUCUAGGCUGUGUAAUGAAGAUUCUCAACGAUGACCCAAUGGCAGAACCAAUCAGUUAGCAAUGUACAAGGAAGGCGCAGUCUUUGUGGGUUAAAUGUUAAACUAUAUGAAGAUUGUAUAUAAAUGUUAUAUCUUAGCAGCAUUCCAAGUUACUCCUCAACCUGGAGUUCCACCCGAGGAAGCAGGGAGCACGGUAGCUGCCGAAUCUUCGGUUUCCUUAUUAAUUAUGAUCUCAUUUUUAUUGUCAGUCGAUUGAAUUUAGUUUUAAUGUUCCAUAUGUGAUUUUGGGUUGCUAGAAUUUAAUUUUAAAAUUGUAGGCAGAGAUUCUAUUUUUAUGAAUAUUAUUUUGGAUAUUCAAAAGUUAAU